rnacentral:misc_RNA from 1 species
UACGGAGGAUCCAAGCGUUAUCCGGAAUCAUUGGGUUUAAAGGGUCCGUAGGCGGAAGCUUAAGUCAGUGGUGAAAGUCUGCAGCUUAACUGUAGAAUUGCCAUUGAUACUGUAGACCUUGAGUAAUUAUGAAGUGGUUAGAAUAUGUAGUGUAGCGGUGAAAUGCAUAGAUAUUACAUAGAAUACCGAUUGCGAAGGCAGAUCACUAAUAAUUUACUGACGCUGAGGGCCGAAAGCGUAGGUAGCGAACAGG